rnacentral:tRNA from 1 species
AGCCUUAAGGUGAUAAUCAUGUCGAAUUGCAAAUUCGAAGGUGUGGGGAAUAGACCCUACUAAGGCUU